AUCUUUUUGUAGUUGAUAAGCACGAUGAUGACUGGGUUUUCAUGCUCAAGUGUGGGAUAGGCCUCCCUCAAACCUCCUUAGGAUGUUGGCACAUUAACCAUUUAGCG
ensembl:snoRNA